rnacentral:rRNA from 1 species
AGAAUCAACGCUGGCGGCGCGCUUAACACAUGCAAGUCGCACGAGAAAGGGGAGCAAUCCCUGAGUAAAGUGGCGCACGGGUGAGUAACACGUGGGUCAUCCACACUUCAGUGGGGAAUAACCCUGGGAAACCGGGGCUAAUACCGCAUACGCCUGAGAAGGGAAAGCAGCAAUGCGCUGGAGAAGGAGCCCGCGGCCGAUUAGCUAGUUGGUGGGGUAACGGCUCACCAAGGCGACGAUCGGUAGCCGGCCUGAGAGGGCACACGGCCACACUGGCACUGAAACACGGGCCAGACUCCUACGGGAGGCAGCAGUGGGGAAUCUUGCACAAUGGAGGAAACUCUGAUGCAGCGACGCCGCGUGAGCGAUGAAGCCCUUCGGGGUGUAAAGCUCUUUCGACGGGAACGAUAAUGACGGUACCCGGAGAAGAAGCUGCGGCUAACUACGUGCCAGCAGCCGC